ensembl:lncRNA
GCAUGUUGCAGGUGAGCCUCAAGAAGCACAUCCUGAAGCUACCAUGAACUCUUGUCCGCUUACGAGUCUGCAAAUCCCUUGGAGAACUGUGCCCUCUCCCUCGCACAUGACUUCGGAAUCUCUACCAACGGCCUCUUCCGCGCAGCCUCUAUUGGAUCCCUACAGGGCAGAGGAUUCUGGGAAGCAGAGGGUUCUGGGAAAUGUAGUUUCCGCUUCUCCUCAGUGAGGCAGAGGAAAUCUCCGAGGUGGAAAGUGGAAGUGAAGUCGCUCAGUCGUGUCCGACUCCUUUCGACCCCAUGGGCCUACCACGCUCCUCCGUCCAUGGGAUUUUCCAGGCAAGCGUACUGAACUGCGAGGCAUGUGGGAUCCUAGCUCCAUGACCAGGGAUCGAACCCACACCCCCUGCACUGGAAGGCUAAGCCAAUGCUGGACUGCCAGGGAAGACUCUGCUGUUUCUUAUAAAGCUAAAGGGACAAUUACCAUUGGAGCCAGCAAUCCCAUUCCUAGGUGUUUACCUAAGAGAAAUAAGAUAUCGGUCCACACAAAGACUUGUAUGUGAAUGUUCUUAGCAGCUUUAUCACAGUAGCCCCAAAGUGGAAACAACUCAAAUGCCCC